GACGAACCGAGCGAACGUUAUUCGGAAUCACUGGGCUUAAAGGGCGCGUAGGCGGGCGGCCAAGUCAGAGGUGAAAGCCUCCAGCUCAACUGGAGAAGUGCCUUUGAUACUGGUCAUCUUGAGGGAGAUAGGGGCGUGCGGAACUUCCGGUGGAGCGGUGAAAUGCGUAGAUAUCGGAAGGAACACCGGUGGCGAAAGCGGCGCGCUGGAUCUCUUCUGACGCUGAGGCGCGAAAGCCAGGGGAGCGAACGGG
rnacentral:rRNA from 1 species